GCCUGGCUGGCUCAGUUGGUAGAGCACGUGACUCUUGAUCUCAAGGUUGUGAGUUUGAGCCCCACAUUGGGUG
rnacentral:tRNA from 1 species